ensembl:lncRNA
AACAGCAGUAAUAGCUGUUGUUGAGAAAACUGUUGUUGUUGCCUAAAAUUCCUUUCUUUUUCGUGCUGUAAAAAAUAUUUUUGUUUUUAAAGCUGCAAAGAUUAAUAAUAUCUUAAAUAAUUAUUAUCUGGAAGAGAUGAAAAGGAUCUACUACCGGAAUACUUUUGACAACGUUAGUUUUAUAUGACAGCAAAGGAAUAUGCUUCUUUGACAAAAGAAAAAUUUGGUACAAUUGUUCUCAGAUUUCAUUUUCUUCCUUUUUCUUCUUUACUCUUUUCUCCUUCUUUUCACGUUUGUUCUUUUCAUCUUCUCGCAUUUUUAGGAGCUAUCUCCCAUCCCCCUGGUGUUAAAACUCAUGCAGUUUGAGUAUUCUCAGCCCUGUGUUGGGAUCCUCCAGUGCGGGUCAUUUUGCCUGGAUGGAGCCUCAGCAGUUCCAGUCAAGCCCUCCCUAAUUGUAGUGCUCCCCAUGUAGUCAUUUGAGACAAAGAAACAGGCCUACUUCAUCGAGUGAUAAAUCUUUCGGUUGUCAAAAGAGAAAUCAAGUUCUGUACCUUGUAAACCACAUGAAUGUCUUUUUGACCCACUUAAGGUCUGUAUGACUGUAAAUUUGCUGUAAUAUAUUCAAAGUGCCAAAGGUUAUAUACGAAGUUAUGGUACGUUUACUGUUGGAAGUUAGGUUUUGCACUCAGUUAGAUUUUAAUUUCCUAAUUACACCAAGAUGUAUUUCAGUUACUCAGUAUUUCCAUGCAAGUUCUUGAACAUUUUUCAGUGUUUGGCUAAGGCAAGUGGUUUUCUCAUAUUGUCAAUGGGGAAGAGUUGUGCAAUUGUUUUGAAUUCAACAGUCAAAUUCAGUGUAGGUAAAGGUAAAGUUACCCAGAAGAGACAGGAAUUUCAACUCUGAAUUUUUACACGGAGCUCCUAUGGCUAAAGAUAUAAGCUCUUCUGGGGCAACGUUGGAAAAAUGGCACACCUGUCAGUUUCUGUUUAAAAUGAACAUUUUAACAUUUUUCUCUGUUUUUGAGACUAUUUUUGAAAUGCAUCUUCAUCCCACCUGUGUUUGAUGGAGCGUGCAGCUUUCAAAUGAAAACAUUUCGUACAGAGUGAUUUAUGUGCUGAAAACAAAGUAAGUUCUGUUUCUCCAAUAGGACAAAAUUGUAAAUUCUCCGACAGAUCAUUUAAAAAUUAUAAUAACUUGCCACUUACAAUUAGUCUUUCUUGCCCUCUGAAAUGUAGGGAUGAGAAUUUCGUGUGCAUUAUUUUGGUUUCUUCUCUCAAAAAUAAGUAUGAAAGUUCAUCCGUGCACACCCUGUACUUGGAAAUUCUCCUUUGAAACAUCUCUGCUCAUAGCAAUGUACUCUCCUUACUUUAGAGAACAAAUAUCAAGGCUGUGUUUUAGUUUUGUAAGUAACAUUAACUUUCUACCAUUCAAGAAGGAUGUUUAAUAUUUAUAUAUGUUACCUUGUGCUGCUGUAUUUUAUGUUCAGCUUGGUUUUCCACCUACUAAUGAAUGUAGCAUUCUCCGUAGAUUAUACAUAGCUACAUUUAUUGCUGUUGGCUCUGUAUCAGGAACUAUUUGUAACUUUCCAGCUGUGAAAAUGUUGCCUUGCAUUUAGAAAGGCUUCAUGAUGUGGGGACCUAAUGAAACUCAGGCUCAUUAGGUACCAGUCUGCAUUUCUUUCUCUAGAGGAUGCCCUUUCUUAGAUGCAUCUAAAAACAACUCUUGUCUUAAUAUGUUUACUGCUGCACUGGAGGCUUAUUUACACUUCCAGCUUUAAAGAAAAAAUAUCGUCCUAUAUUAAGUAUGUAAAGUAAGCUUUUUUGCUGUUUAUGUACCCAUUACUGUUGCUGAUAUGAUAGAGGCGUUAGCUCUGUGAUUUUAAAAUGAUGAUAUUUGAAGCAUGUUGCCUAACUUCCUCUCUUUGAAGUCCGUGAUGAAGGAUAAUAGUGCUGCUGCAUUCAUGAUGCUAGAUGUAAAGGUCUGUCAGCACUUUCAGUUCGAAACACUAUUUUCAGGAAUUUAUAACUUCUAAAUCUGCAUAUGGGCACUGGAAGUAUUUAAUAUGCAAUAGGUAGCACUUUAAUCUGUUUAUGAAGGGUUUGGGGAUUUGUUUCUGUUGGAAAAAGUCAUGAUCUCCUACAGCACAGAGAGCAUUUACUUUGCCUUUCACAAUUUGUUCACUGAAGCAGCCACUGUAUAUUACAAGUGAUAGAGCCAUUCCUAUUCAUCUUAGAAGCUUCCAGGUGUCUUGUAUUAUGAUUAUAUGCUGUAAAAAAAAGCUGAAGAUCCAGGUUAUGUAGGAAGUCUGUAAAAGAUAUGAACAUUAUUUCUACCUUAAGGGUUAAUUUUGUCUUGUGCAAUCAAUGGUACUUUGUCUACAUUUAAUAAUGGUACAGAAUCACAACUAUAUGCACAUGUGAGAACUAUAAACCUAGGAUGCAUGAAAAACUUUAUUUUUGUUUCAUUAUUGCAACUUCAGCUCCUUUAAUUUGAUUACGGUGUUAUCUCAGUAUUUUAAUUUCUGUCCAUUAAAACAAUAUUGCAUGUCUAACACUAAUAAAGCACCACAAUGCACU